GCCUAAUACAUGCAAGUCGAGCGAGCUGAAUUCAAAGAUCCCUUCGGGGUGAUUUGUUGGACGCUAGCGGCGGAUGGGUGAGUAACACGUGGGCAAUCUGCCCUAAAGACUGGGAUACCACUUGGAAACAGGUGCUAAUACCGGAUAACAACAUGAAUCGCAUGAUUCAAGUUUGAAAGGCGGCGCAAGCUGUCACUUUAGGAUGAGCCCGCGGCGCAUUAGCUAGUUGGUGGGGUAAAGACCUACCAAGGCAAUGAUGCGUAGCCGAGUUGAGAGACUGAUCGGCCACAUUGGGACUGAGACACGGCCCAAACUCCUACGGGAGGCAGCAGUAGGGAAUCUUCCACAAUGGACGCAAGUCUGAUGGAGCAACGCCGCGUGAGUGAAGAAGGUUUUCGGAUCGUAAAGCUCUGUUGUUGGUGAAGAAGGAUAGAGGCAGUAACUGGUCUUUAUUUGACGGUAAUCAACCAGAAAGUCACGGCUAACUACGUG
rnacentral:rRNA from 1 species